rnacentral:rRNA from 1 species
UACGAGGGAUGCAAGCGUUAUCCGGAAUUAUUGGGCGUAAAGCGUUUGUAGGCGGGCGAGUGUGUUUAAUGUUAAAUCUUAAAGCUCAACUUUGAAAUUGCGUUAAAAACUGCUUGUCUUGAGUAUGGUAGGGGUAAAGGGAAUUCCCAGUGUAGCGGUGAAAUGCGUAGAUAUUGGGAAGAACACUAAACAGCGAAGGCACUUUACUAGGCUAAUACUGACGCUGAGAAACGAAAGGUAAGGUAGCGAAACGGAUUAGAUACCCGUGUAGUCUUACCCGUAAACUAUGGACACUAAACGGUAAAUUUUUAAUUUACUGUUAAAGCUAACGCGUUAAGUGUCCCGCCUGGGGAGUAUGCUUGCAAAAGUGAAACUCAAAGGAAUUGACGGGGGCCCGCACAAGCGGUGGAGCAUGUGGUUUAAUUCGACGGUACACGAAGAACCUUACCAGGAUUUGACAUGCUAGAUAGUUGCUUGAAAGAGUAACGUGCCGUAAGGAAUCUAGACACAGGUGGUGCAUGGCUGUCGUCAGUUCGUGUUGUGAAAUGUUGGGUUAAGUCCCGCAACGAACGCAACCCUUGUCUUUAGUUAUUUUCUAAAGAGACUGCCUGUAAUAAACAGGAGGAAGGUAAGGAUGAGGUCAAGUCAUCAUGCCCCUUAUGUCCUGGGCUACACACGUGCUACAAUGGGAAAGACAAUGAGCUGCAAAUCUGUAAAUUUAAGCAAAUCUCUUAAACUUUCUCGUAGUUCGGAUUGUGGGCUGCAACUCGCCCACAUGAAGUUGGAAUCGCUAGUAAUCGCCAGUCAGCUAUAUGGCGGUGAAUCCGUUCCGCGGGCCU